rnacentral:rRNA from 1 species
CCCUUAGAUGUCCUGGGCUGCACGCGCGCUACACUGAUGUGUCCAGUAAGCACCUAACCCCUUCCGAAAGGAACGGGUAACCUUUGCAAAGCACAUCGUGAUGGGGAUAGAUUAUUGCAAUUAUUAGUCUUGAACGAGGAAUUCCUAGUAAGCACAAGUCAUCAGCUUGUGUUGAUUACGUCCCUGCCCUUUGUACACACCGCCCGUCGCUCCUACCGAUUGAAUGUUCCGGUGAGCUCUUCGGACUGCGCGGUCUGCAGUUUCUGCGUUCCGUGCGGAAAGUUGCGCAAACCUUAACAUUUAGAGGAAGGAGAAGUCGUAACA